rnacentral:lncRNA from 1 species
AAGAUUUUGGCAUAUUUUAAUUUUUUUUUAUGAAAAAUUUCGUAAACCUUCAAUUAGCUAUAAAGUAAAAAUGCAUCUCUUUUCACCAAAUUAUGGAUAAAUUUAUAUUUCUUUUGUAUGAAGUUGUGACAUUGUUAAGAAUAGAUAGUAUAAUUAUCAAGUAAAGUUACUACAAAACAUAAGUUGGUUCUUCUUCCUUUAGAAUUCUGAAAUUAAAAUAUUAAAUAUUGAAUAUUAAACAAUCAAAAAUGUUUUAGAAUAUUUUUAUAGAUCUCAAAUGUAAGGAUUUUCUACUUAACAGAAUCUUGAAAUAAGCUUUCAGAAAAGCCCAAAUAAGCUUUCAGAAAAAUAACAAAAUUAUAUAAUAAAAAAACCAGUGUUCAAAUUUGCUACACCCAUUAUAAAAAUAAAAAUAAAAGCAUUUGAAGAAGGGCAAGGUGACAAAAAUAAUAAUAACAAUAAUAAUUAUAAUGACUCCAAUCCUCAAACUCUUACAACCCAAUGCUUGCUUGCAAUUUGUGGCAGUGUCUGUAAAUGGGGAAUUCAUGACUUGGUUUACAAAGCAGUUCCUUGAUUCCAGACUUUGAAACCCACACUUCCAUAUGACCAGUUCCUUUGAUCAUGUGUUUCAAUUGCACACGUUUUGGAUUUGUACUGUAUACUCUCCUCUUUGUUGCAUGUGUGG